CGGGUGAGUAAUGUAUGGGGAUCUGCCUGAUGGCGGGGGAUAACUACUGGAAACGGUAGCUAAUACCGCAUAACGUCGCAAGACCAAAGCGGGGGACCUCCGGGCCUCGCGCCAUCAGAUGAACCCAUAUGGGAUUAGCUAGUAGGUGAGGUAACGGCUUACCUAGGCGACGAUCCCUAGCUGGUCUGAGAGGAUGAUCAGCCACACUGGGACUGAGACACGGCCCAG
rnacentral:rRNA from 1 species